rnacentral:rRNA from 1 species
AUUGAACGCUGGCGGCAUGCUUUACACAUGCAAGUCGAACGGUAACAGGCCGCAAGGUGCUGACGAGUGGCGAACGGGUGAGUAAUGCAUCGGAACGUGCCCAGUCGUGGGGGAUAACUACUCGACAGAGUAGCUAAUACCGCAUACGAUCUAUGGAUGAAAGCGGGGUACCGUAAGGCCUCGCGCGAUUGGAGCGGCCGAUGUCAGAUUAGGUAGUUGGUGGGGUAAAGGCUCACCAAGCCAACGAUCUGUAGCUGGUCUGAGAGGACGACCAGCCACACGGGGACUGAGACACGGCCCAGACGCCUAAGGGAGGCAGCAGUGGGGAAUGUGGGACAAUGGGCGCAAGCAUGAUCCAGCAAUGCCGCGUGCAGGAAGAAGGCCUUCGGGUUGUAAACUGCUUUUGUACGGAACGAAACGGCUCUGGUUAAUACCCGGGGCUAAUGACGGUACCGUAAGAAUAAGCACCGGCUAACUACGUG